AGGGUUUGAUUAUGGCUCAGAACGUACGCUGGCGGCACGCCUAACACAUGCAAGUCGAACGAAGUAGCAAUACUUAGUGGCAGACGGGUGAGUAACAUGUAGGUAUCUACCCUUUGGCCUGGAAUAACACGAGGAAACUUGUGCUAAUACCGGAUAAGUCUUUACGGAGAAAGCUUUAUGCACCAUUGGAUGAGCCUGCACUUGAUUAGUUUGUUGGUGGGGUAAUGGCCUACCAAGACUUUGAUCAAUAGCUGAUUUGAGAGGAUGAUCAGCCACAUUGGGACUGAGACACGGCCCAAACUCCUACGGGAGGCAGCAGUGGGGAAUCUUGCACAAUGGAGGAAACUCUGAUGCAGCGAUGCCGCGUGAGUGAAGAAGGCCUUUGGGUUGUAAAGCUCUUUCGUCGGGGAAGAAAAUGACUGUACCCGAAUAAGAAGGUCCGGCUAACUUCGUGCCAGCCGCCGCGGUAAUUC
rnacentral:rRNA from 1 species